rnacentral:rRNA from 1 species
AGAGUUUGAUCUGGCUCAGAACGAACGCUGGCGGCGUGGAUAAGACAUGCAAGUCGAGCGCUGAUUACAAGGUAGCAAUAUUUUGUAGUUGGAGCGGCGCAAGGGUGCGUAACACGUGGGUAAUCUGCCAUGAAGUUUGGGAUAACUUGCUGAAAGGCGAGCUAAUACCGGAUGUGAAAAUUGGAAGGCAUCUUUUGAUUUUCAAAGCUGGGGACCGUAAGGCCUGGCGCUUCAUGAUGAGCCCGCGGCCUAUCAGCUAGUUGGUAAGGUAACGGCUUACCAAGGCUAAGACGGGUAGCUGGUCUGAGAGGACGACCAGCCACACUGGAACUGAGACACGGUCCAGACACCUACGGGUGGCAGCAGUCGAGAAUUUUUCACAAUGGGCGCAAGCCUGAUGGAGCGACGCCGCGUGGGGGAUGAAUGGCUUCGGCCCGUAAACCCCUGUCAUUUGCGAACAAAUUGGUUCACUUAAUACCUGAACCAUUGAUAGUAGCGAAAGAGGAAGGGACGGCUAACUCUGUGCCAGCAGCCGCGGUA